rnacentral:rRNA from 1 species
UACGGGGGGAGCAAACGUUGUUCGGAAUCACUGGGCGUAAAGGGCGUGUAGGCGGCUGGAUAAGUGGGAUGUUAAAUCCCCCGGCUCAACCGGGGACCUGCAUCUCAUACUGUUCAGCUCGAGCACAUCAGAGGAGACUGGAAUUCCCGGUGUAGCGGUGAAAUGCGUAGAUAUCGGGAGGAACAUCUGUGGCGAAGGCGACACCCUGGACCAGCACUGACACUGAGGCACGAAAGCGUGGGGAGCAAACAGG